UGGGCAACCUGCCCCUCUCUCUGGGAUAACCCCGGGAAACCGGAGCUAAUACCGGAUACUCCGGCUGGAUCGCAUGGUCCGGCCGGGAAAGGUCCGCCGGAGAGGGAUGGGCCCGCGGCCUAUCAGCUUGUUGGUGGGUCAUGGCUCACCAAGGCGACGACGGGUAGCUGGUCUGAGAGGACGACCAGCCACACUGGAACUGAGAUACGGUCCAGACUCCGUACGGGAGCA
rnacentral:rRNA from 1 species